rnacentral:lncRNA from 1 species
GGGGCGCAUAAGGGCCAUUGUAAGGGCCUCUCCUCCCAUCCGGUCUCUAAAUAACCAGGCCUUCAUUUGUGUCAGGAUGAGGUCCUCCUCUUGUUCCUGACACACUUAAUUUCAAUUAUCUAAAGGAGCUACUCCCGGUCAUUAUAAGCUCAUGCCAAAAGAAAAGAUAUGCGAAUAUAAAAUUUUUAUUUAAGGCAAAGUUAUCGGUAAUACAUUCGUAG